rnacentral:rRNA from 1 species
UGAAAUCUAGUAGCCUUCGGCUGCUCGAGUUGUAAUCUAGAGAAGUGUUUUCCGUGCCGGCCCAUGUACAAGUCCCUUGGAACAGGGCGUCAUAGAGGGUGAGAAUCCCGUCCUUGACAUGGACCCCCGGUGCUCUGUGAUACACUUUCAACGAGUCGAGUUGUUUGGGAAUGCAGCUCAAAAUGGGUGGUGAAUUCCAUCUAAAGCUAAAUAUUGGCGAGAGACCGAUAGCGAACAAGUACCGUGAGGGAAAGAUGAAAAGCACUUUGGAAAGAGAGUUAAACAGUACGUGAAAUUGUUGAAAGGGAAACGAUUGAAGUCAGUCAUGCUCUUUGGUAUUUAUAUCAUUGAGUGGGGUCAACAUCAGUUUUGAGCGAUGGAUAAAGGCACUAGGAAGGUAGCACUCUCGGGUGAACUUAUAGCCUAGCGUCAUAUACAUUGUUUGGGACUGAGGAACGCAGCAUGCCUUUAUGGCCGGGAUUCGUCCACGUACAUGCUUAGGAUGUUGACAUAAUGGCUUUAAACGACCCGUCUUG